UCCUGGUUAGCUCAGUUGGUAGAGCGCUCCACUGGAAAUGGGGAGGUCUCGAGUUUGAUACCAGGACCAGGCG
rnacentral:tRNA from 2 species